rnacentral:sRNA from 1 species
GAGAAGAAAAAAAAAUUAAAUAAAAUAAAAUAAAACUGAACGGGGGAAGAAGAAACACUUCCGCGCCACGCAAGAAAUCGAAAAGUGCACAUUUGAUUCAUUUUCAUUUUUCGCGACUUGUGUACUUGUGUGCCGUUCUUGCUCCGUCGACGAUGGCAAGUUAACAACUAACUCUGAGCUGAUAC